rnacentral:snoRNA from 18 species
AAAACCAAUAUUACUACCAUCGGUCCUCACUACUAGAUCGGUGUUAUGCUUUGUUGGGAUAACAUGCCGUGCCAAUCAGGCAGCUAGUGUCUCUCUACUGGUGCGGCAUACA